rnacentral:lncRNA from 1 species
UUGAUCGUAUGUUGUGAAUUGUUUGAAUAUCUAAUUUUAACCUUGAAUUGCAGGUUGGAACUGAGGCCAAGGUAAGUCCUCUAACUCGUGUUGUGCUUAGGCAACCGUAUGGCGUAUUAGUUUAUUAAUCGAGUCUUAGUGGGUAGGACUCGCUGAGACGUGGUCUCAUUGGUUAUUGAAUAACCAUUUCAGGACCCUGAAGAAAAGCUGAGGAGGAAGAACCUGAAGGGGAGAAAGUAUUUUGAAGUAGAAGAUGAUCCAGAGAGGGAUCUUGAAUAUAACCCAGAUGUGGAUUGAGAUCCCAUCCCUUUUGUGAACCCUGCUUUAGUGUAGAUAGGUGUGAGACUUUUAUGCUGUAAAUAGUAUUGUAAAUAUACUAUGAGUUGUGCUGUUAAUGAAAGUGUGGUUCUGAAUUUCAAUAUGAAAAAUAUGGCCUGCUUUCCUAUCCCAUUGUUUUAUUGUCUGGGGAUUUAUAACUGCUUC